rnacentral:rRNA from 1 species
GAUGAACGCUGGCGGCGUGCCUAAUACAUGCAAGUCGAGCGAACGGACGAGAAGCUUGCUUCUCUGAUGUUAGCGGCGGACGGGUGAGUAACACGUGGAUAACCUACCUAUGAGACUGGGAUAACUUCGGGAAACCGUAGCUAAUACCGGUUAAUAUUUUGAACCGCAUGGUUCAAAAGUGAAAGACGGUCUUGCUGUCACUUAUAGAUGGAUCCGCGCUGCAUUAGCUAGUUGGUAAGGUAACGGCUUACCAAGGCAACGAUGCAUAGCCGACCUGAGAGGGUGAUCGGCCACACUGGAACUGAGACACGGUCCAGACUCCUACGGGAGGCAGCAGUAGGGAAUCUUCCGCAAUGGGCGAAAGCCUGACGGAGCAACGCCGCGUGAGUGAUGAAGGUCUUCGGAUCGUAAAACUCUGUUAUUAGGGAAGAACAUAUGUGUAAGUAACUGUGCACAUCUUGACGGUACCUAAUCAGAAAGCCACGGCUAACUACGUG